CAACAUUAGAGGUUUACACCAUUUUAUAACAUUUAACACUACAUAAGGAUCCACUACUAUCCAACAUAUAAUACCAAUACAGGAAGUAAAAUUUUUGAAAUAAUAUUGCGAAGAAAAUCGAUGUCUAACUACACGUAAUCUGGAGUCACAAUUCACGAGCUACUAAGAGUUUACUAUCAAUUUUUGGCUGAAAGAAAGUGUAUAAAUGUUUGUGAAUUAAUAAAACAGUAAAUGGAGAUAAAGUAAGAGCCUCCAGGAAUCUGCGGAUGUCAGCACAUCUACCUCGUGUCUCCCGCGCAGGUGUUAGCUACUAUCAAAAACAGCUCGGACCUAAACCUAGAUCUGCACAAAAAGUGCAAAGUACAUUAUCAAUACAACCUACCCAUGUACUAGCAAGUGUUGAGCCUAAUCUCAACGAAGUAGUGACGAAACUAGGAUACGACACACACAAAUAACCUGAACAUUGUAAUAAUACAAGUUGCAAUAGUAACAAUAACAUAUAUAAGGGAGAAAUUAUUGGGAGGGGGACAUGCUGAGGGGUUCACAAUAUAAGAAACGAGAAGCAUUAAUAUAAACGGACAAAUCAAAUGUAGUGCACAAUUUAAACAAGUAUGAACGGUAAAAGAAACUAUACGGCAUCACCUUUCGUGCUUUUACUAUCGAUUUCACCAUACGCAAAAUAAAUUGGCACGACAUCACCCUUCAUGCUUUAUACUCUUCCUCACAAUAUAAAAUAAUGUAUGACACGGUAUUACCCUUCGUGCUUUUACUCUCAUCCUCACAAUAUGAAAUAAUGCAUGGCACGACAUCACCCUUCGUACUUUUACUCUUAUCCUCACAAUAUAAAAUAAUGCAUGACACGACAUUAUCCUUCGUGCUUUUACACUCAUUCUCACAAUAUAAAAUAACGAAUGAUACGGCAUCACACUUUGUACUUUUACUCUCAUCCGCACAAUAUGAAUUAAUAACAACGGAUAAACAGGAGUUUCACGAAGUAGCCAAUACUCUACCAAUGUGUAAAAUCAUAGUAUAAACCUCAAAGCUUGAACCAAUAUUCAGAAUUUCUAAAUCUUGAUGAAACCAGAUAUAAGUAACCAACAUUUCAAAUAACAGCGAAUAGCAGGAAUAAUAGGAGUAUAUGCUACAACAUUUACAAAGAAUAGAAUUUUACUCGCAUGCUAUGACUCAAUAACAUUGCAUAAAUGCUCGUCAUCUCUUCUAUACACCAUAUUAGACAACCAAACAAGUAACAAAUAGAUACACAAUAUCUAUUUCCUCAAGUCAAAGUUAAAUAUAACACUUACCUCAAUUUCGCAGGCCACUCACUGCCCAACUACCGCUUUUCCUUUAUAAUUCACCUCCAACCCCCUCGUAUCCAAAUAUAAUUAGUUUAAUAUCAUCAAUUAAAAGUAACAAUUUUAGUGCAUAGUUACUUAUUUCUCAAAUUUUUCCAAAAAGUUAAAAAUUGACCCCGGGCCCGCUUGGUACGAACUCGAAGUUCGAACUAAAAUCCGUUUACCCAUUCACCCCGAGUCAAUGCAAUUAGUUCCUGAAUCCGACCCCAAAUCAAGGUCUAAAUUCCUAAAUUUGUAAAAAUCCUCAAUUCUCCUAAAAUCCCUAAUCUAUAUCCUUAAAGAACAAGAUUUAGGCCUAAAAAUUUAAUGGGUGUUCAUAAAAAUUGAAAGGAAUGAAUUUUAGAACAUGAACCUAUGAUUUGGUGUAGAAUUCCUAUCCAAAUAUCACUCAAGGUCGAGUUCUGUGAAGAAAAUAUGAAAUUUUGGUCAAGUCCCAUGCAGGUUCUAUUUUUAAUAAGCUGGACAUGCCUUCAUUGCAUUCAUGAGAGGCUUGUCGCGAUCGCGAAGUUGUGGCCCUAUUGGCCUUCGCAUUCGCGAGAUAUUCUUCACAUUAGCGACGGCUUAAUCCCACUAGCCUCCACAUUCGCGAGCCUUGUGUCACGUUCUCAUAGAGUAUGAUCCCCUCCCGCAGGUCCCAAUGCUUUGCGUUCGAGGUAGCCUGAUCGCGUUCGGAAGGGUAAUGCCCCUAAUGCUUCUUGUUCGUGACCAGCCCUUCACGUUCGCAUACAAGAAGGUUCCUCCCUAGCUGGUUUAUACUUUGCGAUCGUGAAGUACAAAACUCUUGCGCACCAACAACAACAAAAAUAACAGAGAUUUCUAAGUCUGAAAUAUCCAUAGCCUAUUUGAAACUCACUCGAGUUCUCGGAGCUCCAAACCAAAUAUAUACAUAAGUCUAAAAAGAUCAUACUGAUUUGCACAACUACAUAUCAAACAAGGAUGUAUCAUACAUAUUACAAUUUUAUUUCAUUGAUUAUGAGUACAUAUAUUGUAACAACAAACUUGAAGCGUCUUUAUCACUUAGGCAAAAAUAUAAAGCUUAUUAUAGAGAAUGAUAUUUGUGCGGCGAUUUCAGCAAUUAUAGAAGCACACGCAAGCAAAUCCGCGGAACAUCCCUUUAUACUCACAUUGCCCACCAUGAACAAACCCUUCCCUCUUACAAUUGGCCAUACAAGAUCGAUCAUGGUAACAUUGACCCCUAAAUGUAGCACUAUAUUUUGUGCAAUAAUAUCUAGAAUUCUUCCCAGCUUCAAUACCUGCCCGUAAAAUACAAACAAAUAAAUAAAUAAGAUAAGAUAAAUAAAAAUUAAGAGAAAAGAAAGAGCAAAAUACAAUGGGAAACGAAAUUGCUAGUAAUUUUUAUAUUCUCAUUGGACUCUCGCCUUCCCUUUUUUCUUAACUCAUCCGAUCAUAAAUUUGUCACUAUCUGACCUCAUUGGUCAAGCUACCACAACAACAACAAUUCUAGUAUGUUAUUGUCUGUUUUGGACCAGUCCUCACGGUUUUUCCCAAAAAGUUUCAAGUUAUUAUGAGAUUCCUAUACUUUAUAUUAGGCUCUGUAUCUUUUCAGUUAUCAAUGUGAGACUUUGUUCGCAUAUCCAAUAAAUUUUACUCUUUUGAAAUUCUACUUUGUGAGAUCGCACUGAACCUUUUUUAUUAUUGUUAUUGUUAUUAUUAUUGGUAGCUCGACCCUCAAUAUAGUGGUCAAGUCGUGAACGAAUGGUUAAGCAAUAGUGGUGAAGUGAGACUUUCUUAUUUACUCUGCUCAAUAAAUAAGAAAUUACUCUCUUAGGUCUCUUAGGAAUUUCAUCAUCAUAAUUCCUGAAAAAAUUGCAAGAGACUUUGCCUUCGAUCUUGCCAAGAAAAAAAAUAUGACGAUCUGGGUUUAAGGAGUCCAUGAAAUAAUAAUUAGGCAGCAAUCCCACAAUAGCAGAAUUUCUCUUAAAGAAGGUGAUCUUGAUUUCUUCAACAUUAGAAGUGAGGGGAGAAGCUAACACCCACACCAAUGAGUGACCUUUAAAGAAGAAAGAGGAAGAAGAAGAGAAAAAGAACAACAACAUUAACAACAACGAUAACAAUAACCCAGUAUAAUUCUAAUUAGUAGUGUUUUUCGAUUAAAAAUGAAGGUUGCUUACCAUCAGAGCAAAACCUCUUGUCUAAGAAGAGAAAUAAAAGAACGAAAAUAAAAGUAAGACAUUUAAUCGAAAUAAUAUACUAGAAUAUAUAAAAUAAUCGUUAUACAGAAUAAUAAUAAUAAUAAUUUAACAAGUUUUUCUCAUAUUCACACGGUCUUUCCUUUGAGGAUGUUUACUUAGCACCGUCAAAGGUAAGGCCUAAUAUAAGGGCCCUUUUAUAUAUUCUUCCUUAUAUAUAAUAUCAAUAUAUGAUCAUAUAUCAUUUUUCUUGACUCACCGUUUGAAGCAAUGAGUAGUAAACCAAGAAGUACCACGAAAAACCUAGAAUAGUAAACAUAAGAUUCAGCCAUUUUUCAACCUUUCUUUUCUUCUAUGAAAUAACUAGAAGCUAAUUAUAGGAAUUU
rnacentral:lncRNA from 1 species